CUUUGAUUGCUGCAGCAUCCUCUUCAAACACAGCUAUUUCAAAUAAACUCAUUGCCAGAUACAGGACUAUAUAAAGAGCCAGAUGCCCCACCCCGGAAGUUCCCUUUAUUUUAGAGUUCUGAUUGGCUUGGUAUCUGACCAUUCGUUUGCUAGUUUUCCCGUUAUUGCUCUUAUGUUUUAAAUUCCCAGCAAAGGUGAACUUGUAAAACCCUAGGCACCUCAUCCUCGACCCCAAUAAAAGCAGAACCCUGGGCUGCCUGCUUCCUUUCUCUGCCUGUAGUCCUGCUGUGUAGCUGCAGGUGUGCCACAUACCCUUCAGGACUUAAAUGGUUGAGAAAAAGGCAAAGGGAGCCCACCUGGGGAUAAACAACUGAAGAUAACUGACAUAGCUUUUGGAAUGCAACAUAGCAAGACAGCAAUGUGUGGAAGGCAUUUCCUAGGGUAUGAAAAGGAUGCAGAUGAGAAUAGAAGACAUGGGCUCACAAUACAUUUUAAGAGGAAGUCAUCAGCAUUUUAAUCCUCUACAAGAACCAUAGACACCCACGCAGCUGUUGUCAGAAGAAAAGGAUUCAUGAAAGGCUGUUCUUGGCUGUGGCAUAGGUGACCCACAAGAGAAUUUGGUAACUUUGCCAACUCCUGAUUUCUAUGUCUUCAGGGGAAAGAAGUGAACAGACACAUCAUGCUGGGAAACUGCAGCUAACAUAUUAUCUAUUUCCAAAUAGUUCUAUGACAUGUUUUUGAUUGUGAUGACUCUUGAUGACAUCAUCUCCUCCUAAAAAAUAAAACUGAGAGCUUGAAUGAAAACCUCUAGAAUCUGCAAUUUUUUUCUUCCUGAAGAUAGGGAGGUAGAAGGAAAUAAGGAUGAGUACAGAUGUGUAUGUAUGUAUAAGUGAAUCACUUCACUGUACGGCAGAAAUUAUCACAACAUUGCAAAUCAACUACAAAUUUUUUAUUUAAAAAUGCCUUGCCAAAUAACUCUGUCACAACUACCCUUGAGACCUACUGGAGAUCUUUGUAUCUUUUUCUCUCUUUCCCUCCUUCCAUAUUCCUUCACUUCUCUCUCUGGUGUGAGUACUUUACCUUUUCAUUAAAACAUGAACAAUUGCUCUGUUUUACCUAAAUAAAUAUAACACCUCAACAUCACUUUAAUGUUAAAAGAACACAAUCUUAUUUUCCAUUCCAGAUUUGAAUGAUUUUUUGUUUCCUCUUAAACCUCAAGAUUAUGGGCCUACUCCACCAAUCUAUUAAAAAUGUCUUCUAAGAAAGAUCUUUGAAUUGCCCAAUUCCAAGAAAAACUGAGUCCAUAUUUACCCAACUGUUGAUGUUUGACACUGUGGAUAACAAUUGUUUUUCUUGAAAUUUUCAUCUUUUUUCACUUGAAAAUGAAUAUUUUAUCUUUAACAUCUCACAGUCUUGAAUAAUAUAUACCAUUCAUCUUUCUAUAUUUCUCUUUGUUCUGCUUUCAGAUGCCAGUGCUCUCCUGAAGUCUGUCUAUCCUUUCCUGUCUUCCCUUCUGGAUGAUUCCAUGCAUACCUCUACAAUGUAAUCUCUAUUACAGUGAAUUUAUGUGGUUGGCUCUGACCUUUCUCUGGAGCUCAAAAUCAGCCCUCCAGUACCCUCAUUCUGAUUGUUAUUUUGAGCCUGAAAAUCAGUAUGUCCCUUACAAAAAUCAUAUGUUUUCAUCCAAAUCCUGUUUGGUUUCCUCUUUUAUCCAUUACUCAUACUUUGCUGUUUUUCUCCUUAUGAUCUAUUCUUUGCCAAGUUAAAUAUGUCACUAGCCGUAUCUUCCCUAUGCUUCUUAUUCCAAAUUUUCAUGAAGUAUAUGAUCAUAUUAUAUAUAAAUUGCAUAAAUAUGUAUCAUAUAUGUAUAUAUAUAAUUAUGUAUGUAUUGUGUGUAAUAUAUUUAUUACAUAUAUGUAUUUCUGUUACAAAAGCUCACUUCCAUUUCUAUUGCACUUCAUUGCUAUAAAUGCGCCACCUGCUAGGAGUGCUAUCACCAAGGUGGUGACAUAGGUCAUUCCUGACUUUGCGCUACCUUACAGGAAUAACAACUAACAACUAUUCAUGAACAAGACACCACUCAAAGAAUCCUUGGAUAUGGAGGUGAGGCUGAUGAACCCCUGGUGUAAUACAGACAAGGACAGCCUCCAUCUGAAGGGUAAGAGGAGCCACUAUAUGUUGACCACAAUACCAUGCUGAGAGGUCUUCCCAGACCCUACGAUUCCACCAGUGGGAAACAGAACCAAGGGUAGACAUCCAGUCAUCCAGCCCCAUCCCCCCUUCUGCAUCACGUGUCUUUUCUUGGGAAUCCCACUCAGGUUUCAGCCCAUAGGAAUUUCAGGAGAAUCUCUGCGGCUUUACCAUUAGGGACCUCAUUAUGACUGAGAAAAGAGAGGGGCUUGAAACAGUCAGCAAUUAGAUCCCAGAAGACUGAAGUUCUACCUGCUAUGACCAAGUAGAAAUCCUGACCAACAGCUUUGCUUAUCUGCAGAACUAAGUUGGUGGUAUAUUAUGACCAGAGAACUAAGUGGGGUAUAACAUGUCUAUUUAGUGUCCUCGGAAAAAGGAUAUGUUGGUCCUGGAGCCUUGUCUGACCCACCCAGGGAGGUGAGCUGAGUUAUAUAACCCCAUGUUUUGCUGAGUGAAACUCCCAGCCCUGCAGACCAGAAAACUUAGACAGAAUGCGUGGAAAGCUAUAUACUCCAAAACACUUCCAGAAACCCUGGAAGCAGAGGUGAUAGUCUCCAGAGCAACACAAGUGACUCUGUUUGCCCAAAGAUCUUAGGAUAUGGGCUCACUUAAAAGCACAAACAAAGAACCUUGGUAGCCUUAGAGCUAGUUCUUCCACCACCCUUGGGCAGGAAAACUAAUUUGUAAACUUGCCCAUUCCUGAAUACAUAUUUCAGCUUGCCCAGUCAUGGAACUUAGCCAGAGCACAUAGGAAGCUACAUAGCACUUCCAACAGCCCUAUUUACAGUGGCACCUGAAGAGAGAGCACAACUGUUUGCUCUCUCUAUCUGCAAAGCAAAAUUAGUGGCCCUAUCUUAGAAAGAGUCAGUGUAAAAUCUUGACUUAAUUAGGAUCCCAAAAACAUGUUGCACAGACCCUGGUGGACUCUCUGCUACUGUGUAGGGCAGAGAAAGUAAUUUAUAGCCCCACUUAUUGCUGAGUAUAGUGUCCUGACUAGACAAUCCAGGUCUCUAGAACCCUCAUGGGAGCAGGAAACCAAGCCAGCAAUCUUGUACAAAUGUUUAAGUCAGGGACAUCCCCCACUCCAGAGCUUAUAUAGUUGCCUCCCCCAAAAUAUACCCCAAUAGUAGGCUCUAACUGCUUAAGGCUUUACCAGCAGAUGCAUCUAUAGAAACAAACUGAGCUGAGUGGUAGAGAAUUGACUCUGACAAAGCAAAAAAAAAAAAAAAAAAGGAAACUGCUUACUUAAAUAUGCAGGUACCAACAUUAGAAAUUAUCAAUCUCAAAAAUCUGGUAAACAUGAGAUAACUAAAACUAAUAAAACUUAGUAACUGACUAAAAAAUGAUCAGUGAACUGUCAGAAAAAGAUUUCAGAAUAAUUUUCUUAAAGAAGUUCAUAAGAACUACAAAAAACAGACAACUAAAUGAAAUUAUGUAAACAAUGCAUGAAAAAGUAUUUCAAUAAAGAAAUUGACAUAUCAAAAAACAACCAAAAAAAAUGCAGAAAUCCUAGAGCUGAAAAAUAUAAUCACUCAGCUGAAAAAUUUCAAUAGAGAGUUUCAAAAACAGAUUCACCAUGAAGAAGAAAGAAUCAGUUAAAUAGAAGAUAGAACAUUUGAAAUUAUCCUGUAAGUUAUCCAGUCAGAGAAGCAAAAAAUAAAAACAAUAAACAAAAUCUAUGGGACUUAUGGGACACAAUCAAAUAAACAAUAUCCACAUGAUGGGGAUUCCAGGAGAAGAGAACAAAAAAAGAGAAAUGUAUAUUUAAACAGUAGUGAAUGAAAAUUUCCUCAGUGUUGGAGAGAAAUACAUAAAGCCCAAAGGACUCCAAAAAGGUUGAACCUAAACAUGCUAUAACUGUCAAAGUACAAGACAAAGACUUUU